AAAGAAUUCAGAAAUGUUGUGGGAUACAAAUAAAUAUGCAGAAAUCCAUUUAAUUUCUAUAUACCAAUAAUAAAGUAGCAGAAAGUGAAAUUUAAAAAA